rnacentral:rRNA from 1 species
GACCGCGUGAGGGAAGACGGUCUGUGGAUUGUAAACCUCUUUUGAUAGGGAAGAAGUUCUGACGGUACCUAUCGAAUCAGCCUCGGCUAACUCCGUGCCAGCAGCCGCGGUAAUACGGAGGAGGCAAGCGUUAUCCGGAUUUAUUGGGCGUAAAGCGUCCGUAGGUGGUGGCUCAAGUCAGCGGUUAAAGCGUGGGGCUUAACUCCAUAAGGGCCGUUGAAACUGGGUUGCUAGAGUGCGAUAGGGGCAAGGGGAAUUCCCAGUGUAGCGGUGAAAUGCGUAGAUAUUGGGAAGAACACCGGUGGCGAAAGCGCCUUGCUGGGUCUGCACUGACACUGAGGGACGAAAGCUAGGGGAGCGAAAGGGAUUAGAUACCCCUGUAGCCCUAGCUGUAAACGAUGGGUACUAGGCGUUGUCCGUAUCGACCCGGACAGUGCCGUAGCUAACGCG